rnacentral:rRNA from 1 species
AGAGCGAACGCUGGCGGCAGGCUUAACACAUGCAAGUCGAGCGGGCGUAGCAAUACGUCAGCGGCAGACGGGUGAGUAACGCGUGGGAACGUACCUUUUGGUUCGGAACGACACAGGGAAACUUGUGCUAAUACCGGAUAAGCCCUUACGGGGAAAGAUUUAUCGCCGAAAGAUCGGCCCGCGUCUGAUUAGCUAGUUGGUGAGGUAACGGCUCACCAAGGCGACGAUCAGUAGCUGGUCUGAGAGGAUGAUCAGCCACAUUGGGACUGAGACACGGCCCAAACUCCUACGGGAGGCAGCAGUGGGGAAUAUUGGACAAUGGGCGCAAGCCUGAUCCAGCCAUGCCGCGUGAGUGAUGAAGGCCCUAGGGUUGUAAAGCUCUUUUGUGCGGGAAGAUAAUGACGGUACCGCAAGAAUAAGCCCGGCUAACUUCGCGCCAGCAGCCGC